rnacentral:tRNA from 1 species
GUUUUAAUAAUUUAAUAAAAAUAUUGGUCUUGUAAACCAAAAAUAAGGAACCACCUUUUGAAACU